rnacentral:rRNA from 1 species
UACGUAGGGACCAAGCGUUGUUCGGAUUUACUGGGCGUAAAGGGCGCGUAGGCGGCCUCUGCAAGUCGACUGUGAAAUCUCCGGGCUUAACCCGGAAAGGUCAGCCGAUACUGCAGGGCUAGAGUGCAGAAGGGGCAACUGGAAUUCUCGGUGUAGCGGUGAAAUGCGUAGAUAUCGAGAGGAACACCUGCGGCGAAGGCGGCUCACUGGCCCGGUACUGACGCUGAGGUGCGAAAGCGUGGGGAGCAAACAGG